rnacentral:rRNA from 1 species
UACGUAGGGUGCAAGCGUUAAUCGGAAUUACUGGGCGUAAAGCGUGCGCAGGCGGUUGUGCAAGACCGAUGUGAAAUCCCCGGGCUUAACCUGGGAAUGGCAUUGUGACUGCACGGCUAGAGUGUGUCAGAGGGGGGGGUAGAAUUCCACGUGUAGCAGUGAAAUGCGUAGAGAUGUGGAGGAAUACCGAUGGCGAAGGCAGCCCCCUGGGAUAACGACUGACGCUCAUGCACGAAAGCGUGGGGAGCAAACAGG